CCUACGGGAGGCAGCAGUAAGGAAUAUUGGACAAUGGGCGCAAGCCUGAUCCAGCCAUUCCGCGUGCAGGAUGACGGCCCUCUGGGUUGUAAACUGCUUUUAUUUGGGAAGAAACCCUGGGAUUUAUCCCGGGCUGACGGUACCAAAAGAAUAAGCACCGGCUAAUUCCGUGCCAGCAGCCGCGGUAAUACGGAAGGUGCAAGCGUUAUCCGGAAUCACUGGGUUUAAAGGGUGCGUAGGCGGUUACGUCAGUCAGAAGUGAAAGCUCACAGCUUAACUGUGGAAUUGCUUUUGAUACUGCGUAACUAGAAUCAGGUUGAGGUUGGCGGAAUGUGACAUGUAGCGGUGAAAUGCAUAGAUAUGUCAUAGAACACCAAUUGCGAAGGCAGCUGACUAGACCUGCAUUGACGCUGAGGCACGAAAGCGUGGGGAGCGAACAGGAUUAGAUACCCUGGUAGUCCACGCCCUAAACGAUGCUUACUCGAUGUGUGAAUUAUUGCGCAUCCAAGGGAAACCGUUAAGUAAGCCACCUGGGGAGUACGUUCGCAAGAAUGAAACUCAAAGGAAUUGACGG
rnacentral:rRNA from 2 species